CUACCCCUAGGAGUUGUGAUUAUGACUAGGUCAGGAUUACUAGUUAAUCCAGCACGUAGAACUGUAUCACACCUAGGAUCAAAGGUAACGUCUUACCGUGCCUUAGAAUGGCCGGACUUAACGUACCAGUCAGAAUACUUUCCGAGGUUGGGGACACAGAAUGAGACACAACGAUGAGGGAAAGCCAAAAGUCAGGGAUACCAGAAUACAGGGAAGUCAAAAC